UGAAUUGUACUCCUCCAGAGGAUCCGAUCAAAUGCGCUUCAAAAAACACAAAUUGCACGAUUACAAACUCUUACGGCACUUUCCCUGACAGAAGUAUAUGCAAGGCAGCAAACGUGGCGUAUCCUACCACAGAAAAAGAACUAGUUUCAGUUGUAGCCAAUGCAACAAAGGCCAAAACGAAGAUGAAAGUAGCAACUCGCUAUUCCCAUAGCAUUCCUAAGCUAGUUUGUCCAGAGGGUGAAAAUGGGCUUCUCAUAAGCACCAAAUACCUGAAUAAAGUGUUAGAAAUUGAUUUUGAAUCCAUGAAAAUGACCGUAGAAAGUGGUGUUACCUUAAGACAGCUUAUUGAUGAAGCUGCUAAGGCUGGACUCGUAUUGCCUUAUUCGCCGUACUGGUGGGGAUUGACGAUCGGCGGAUUACUGAGCACGGGUGCCCAUGGAAG
rnacentral:lncRNA from 1 species